GCUGGGCGUGGUGGCGCACACCUGUAAUCCCAGCAACUCAGGAGGCUGAGGCAGGAGGAUCAAAAGUUCAAAGCCAGCCUCUG
rnacentral:sRNA from 1 species